rnacentral:rRNA from 1 species
UACGAAGGGGGCUAGCGUUGCUCGGAAUCACUGGGCGUAAAGCGCACGUAGGCGGAUUGCUAAGUCAGGGGGUGAAAUCCUGGAGCUCAACUCCAGAACUGCCUUUGAUACUGGCGAUCUCGAGUCCGGGAGAGGUGAGUGGAACUGCGAGUGUAGAGGUGAAAUUCGUAGAUAUUCGCAAGAACACCAGUGGCGAAGGCGGCUCACUGGCCCCGGUACUGACGCUGAGGU